GGACUACCAGGGUAUCUAAUCCUGUUUGAUCCCCACGCUUUCGCGCCUCAGCGUCAGAACUAGGCCAGUAAGCCGCCUUCGCCACUGGUGUUCUUGCGAAUAUCUACGAAUUUCACCUCUACACUCGCAGUUCCGCUUACCUCUCCUAGUCUCAAGAUCUCCAGUAUCAAAGGCAGUUCCGAGGUUGAGCCUCGGGAUUUCACCCCUGACUUAAAAAUCCGCCUACGCGCCCUUUACGCCCAGUGAUUCCGAACAACGCUAGCCCCCUUCGUAUUACCGCGGCUGCUGGCAC
rnacentral:rRNA from 1 species